rnacentral:misc_RNA from 1 species
CACAUAACCACCCGCGAGUAGCGAAGAUGCCGAAGGGUAACAACGCGAUCCCCCACGUUCACCAGAAGAAGCACUGGAACCCGUGCUCUUCGCAGAAGGGCAACGUGAAGGUGUUCCUGAACCAGCCGGCUCAGAAGCACCGCCGUCGCCGUCUGCGCCUGCUGAAGGCCAAGAAGGUGUUUCCUCGCCCGCUGAAGGCGCUGCGUCCGCAGGUGAACUGUCCCACGGUGCGCCACAACAUGAAGCGCCGCCUGGGCCGCGGCUUCUCGCCGGCCGAGCUGAAGGCUGCUGGCCUGAACCCCCAGUACGCCGCCACGAUCGGCAUCCGCGUGGACAGUCGCCGGAAGAACAAGUCCGAGGAGGGCAUGAACGUGAACGUGCAGCGCCUGAAGACGUACAUGAGCAAGCUUGUGCUGUUUCCGAUGAACCACAAGAAGGUGCAGAAGGGCGAGGCGUCCGAGGAGGAGGUGAAGGCCGCGACCCAGGACCGCUCGCGCUUCGGCGACGCCGCUGUCGGCGCUGUGGUGUACCCGUCCGCCGAGACCCCACGCGCGGUAUCUGCCGAGGAGAAGUCGAUGUGCGUGUACGCCUUCCUGAAGAAGAACCACUCCGCCGUGCGCUUCUUCGGUGCCCGCAGCGCCCGCGCCGCGCGCAAGGAGGCCGCGAAGGAGGAGAAGGCCGGCAAGUAACGUGUGCUCGCAUAUGCUUUCCGGUUGCCGCCCGCCGUUCCUAGCCGCUCUUUUCGGGCGGUCAGGCUCACUUAAUGGAUGCGUUGCUCAGGUGUGCCUCCGUUCUCCGUCUCUCUCUCUCUCUGUGACAGUGUUUGUGCGGCCCAUUAUGUGCAUCACCGUCCCUUGGCGGGACAGUCGCUCUUUUUUUGUUCGUUUUAUCAUUUCAACACCGAAAGCCAAGGCGAACGCAGGAAGCAGACAAAGCUGAGGGCACUACCAUCAUGGAAGCCGGACCCGGUGCAGACCUCCCUCUUCACUUGCCCGACUCGGCUAGUCUCCCUCACCUCUCGACAGACAUCCUCGUCCACUCACGCACGCGUACGUCCCGAGAGCGCGGGCUGAGGAGUAGAACGAAGCGACAUCCCUUACCGGCGUGGAUCUCGCAUGAAGAGUGAAUGCGAAGGUGAUGCUAGAGCAGGGAGGCAUUCGUGCCGCCUGCGCUGGUUUUAAUCCAUGUGCACGUGUGCUCGUACCUGUCUACUUGCCGAGGCUCCCCCAUGUUCUUCGUGCUCUAAAGGCUCCCAUCUCUCUCUUUUCCAUCCUCCUCUCAUCUCGUUCCUUGUGUGUUUCUAUCGUGCUCAUCUGUUGUGCGCGGCCGUCGUGUGCGUGUGUAUACGCAUGCGGUCCGUUCUCGCAUUUGGUUGCUGCUGACGUGCGCCUGUCGUUAG